rnacentral:rRNA from 1 species
GAGUUUGAUCAUGGCUCAGAUUGAACGCUGGCGGCAUGCCUUACACAUGCAAGUCGAACGGCAGCACGGGUGCUUGCACCUGGUGGCGAGUGGCGAACGGGUGAGUAAUAUAUCGGAACGUGCCCAAUCGUGGGGGAUAACGCAGCGAAAGCUGUGCUAAUACCGCAUACGAUCUACGGAUGAAAGCGGGGGAUCGCAAGACCUCGCGCGAAUGGAGCGGCCGAUAUCAGAUUAGCUAGUUGGUGGGGUAAAAGCCCACCAAGGCGACGAUCUGUAGCUGGUCUGAGAGGACGACCAGCCACACUGGAACUGAGACACGGCCCAGACUCCUACGGGAGGCAGCAGUGGGGAAUUUUGGACAAUGGGCGCAAGCCUGAUCCAGCAAUGCCGCGUGCAGGAUGAAGGCCUUCGGGUUGUAAACUGCCUUUUGUACGGAACGAAA